UGUCGUUGCCUAACAAGCAGUGUGACUCGUGAACUUGUUCUUCUACUGAGGGUUGGUUUGAGGUGUCUCACACCCCAACCUCCCUUUUUUGUUGGGAGGUGAGCACCACUWUGGUCUCAUCCCCAGCUAAACAAAAACCCCGGCGCGGAAUGCGUCAAGGAACAAAAUUUUCAGUGCGCUCAUGCAGGCUCGGAUACGAUGCUUGUGUGGGUGGCGUUGCAAAACAUUAAGUCUUAAAUGACUCUCGGCAACGGAUAUCUCGGCUCUUGCAUCGAUGAAGAACGUAGCGAAAUGCGAUACUUGGUGUGAAUUGCAGAAUCCCGUGAACCAUCGAGUCUUUGAACGCAAGUUGCGCCUGAAGCCGUUAGGCUGAGGGCACGCCUGCCUGGGUGUCACACAUCGUUGCCCCAAUGCCUAAUUAGGUAUUGUGCAGGGCGAAUGUUGGCUUCCCGUGAGCUAUGCCUUGCGGUUAGUUUAAAAUCAGGUCCAUGGUGGAGUGCACUAUGAUAGAUGGUGGUUGAGUAAAAGCUCGAGGCCAAUCAUGUGUGUUUCUCUGUCAUGUUUGGACCGUUUGACCCAUGCGUGUCUUCUGGACACCCAAAACGAGACCUCAGGUCAGGC
rnacentral:rRNA from 1 species